GCCGCUGUAGCUCAAUUGGCAGAGCACGCGCCUUUUAAGCGAGGAGAUGAAGGAUCGUGGCCUUCCGGCGGCACCA
rnacentral:tRNA from 1 species